rnacentral:rRNA from 1 species
AUUGAACGCUGGCGGCAGGCCUAACACAUGCAAGUCGAGCGGAUGACGGGAGCUUGCUCCUGAAUUCAGCGGCGGACGGGUGAGUAAUGCCUAGGAAUCUGCCUGGUAGUGGGGGACAACGUUUCGAAAGGAACGCUAAUACCGCAUACGUCCUACGGGAGAAAGCAGGGGACCUUCGGGCCUUGCGCUAUCAGAUGAGCCUAGGUCGGAUUAGCUAGUUGGUGAGGUAAUGGCUCACCAAGGCGACGAUCCGUAACUGGUCUGAGAGGAUGAUCAGUCACACUGGAACUGAGACACGGUCCAGACUCCUACGGGAGGCAGCAGUGGGGAAUAUUGGACAAUGGGCGAAAGCCUGAUCCAGCCAUGCCGCGUGUGUGAAGAAGGUCUUCGGAUUGUAAAGCACUUUAAGUUGGGAGGAAGGGCAGUAAGCGAAUACCUUGCUGUUUUGACGUUACCGACAGAAUAAGCACCGGCUAACUCUGUGCCAGCAGCCGCAGUAACAC